UCGAGACGGACUUCCGAUUCACGUCUUGCUUACUCUGUCUCCCAUUGGGUCGGGUCUCGCCACGUACUCACGGCCGGCGGUCCACAAGGGAAAAUUGGCAUAGAAGAGCGGGAGGGGAAAUUGUCCACUUGUUGAUGAGAGGCGGGGCUACAGAGUGGGCGUGGCAGCAGGUGGGAAGCCGUAAGAGUGGUGAUCCCUGGGCGGCCCUGACCGGGACACCACUUAGGUCCAGUUUUCUUAGAUUUGCCAAAAGCAAUGUUCCUGAGCUACGCUCGAACCAGAAUCCAGCUGCGUUAGAGUGUCAUGUUGGGGCCCAAAAAUGUCCGUUGUUAGCUGCUCCAUAAAGAAAACCUUCCUGAAGGCCGAUACCAACCCGGGAGAAUUACGGCCUCUGCAGCAGAGGCGGGUGCCCUGCGCUUACAGGGCUCGAGCCGCGCGGUGACUGCUGGGAAAUGUAGUCCACGGCACGCCCUUGUUCCUGCGCCUGCGGCGUGGAUCCAGCAUUCCAAAGCAGAGCAGGUCUGUGGCCGAGCUCUGCGAGAGCAAGAUUGUCAGAUUGUGGGCUGUGACGGUCAUCCUGAGGGAAGAAGCGAAGGGAAACACCAGGGAGGACCCCUUCUCUUUUGAAGAGAGAACUGCCCAGGCCUGAGACCGGAGCAUGUCUGUGACGGCUCAUGGAGUCCGCAGAUCCUAGGAGUGUGUGGCGAAAACCAGUAAUCGUUUAUUAAACACAUGCUUACAUAAAAUAAGACCUUCACAAUAUUGUAUAAAGUAGGCUUUAUUAUAAGCCCUGUGAUUGUGGCACCGGGUGUCAGUUAAUAAGCCUUUUGCCUAAGUUAUUCUAUUUAGACUGUGGAAAUAAAAGUCGUCUGUUUUGAAUGACUGUGUGUAGAGUCCGUAUUUCCUCAUUUCAUCACAGGUACAAACAAAGGCCCACAGGCUGCAAUGGCACAUGCUUAUCCAGACGCAGAUGGGCAGGUAUAGGUUAAUUUAGGAAAACCUUGUUAAAGCUUGUGAGGUUGAGACAGACAGCUCAGCGGUUAAAAACACUUAAUCUGCCCUUCUGGGGGACCUGGAUUCUGUUCCCAGCAACCGCAUGGUGGCUCACGGCCUUCUAUGGGAUCUGACACCAUCUUCUAGCCUCCAAAAGCACUGGUGUAUGCCAGGCGUAUAAUGCAGUUGCAGCCCAAACUGAAAGAUUAAUGAGCUUCCGACAGAAAAGUUGACCCCACCUGUGUGCUGUUAGGAUCCAGAGAGCUUCUGUUAAGAUCAACUACCAACCUCCUUUGGUAUUUACUGUGAGCCCCUCCACGAGUGGCCAGGCCCCUCCCCUGAGGACCUCCAACUGCCCAUCUAACAAGCUUAACUGCCCUAACGCCUGGGCCCUGCCCCCACCCUACCGAGUUAAAAACUCCAGCUCUGGACUUGAAAUCCUACCAAUCCCCACCCUGAAAAGUUCCACCCCCCUCAAGAAACUAAGCCCUGCCUUCUGCUCAGUCCUCUGCUGUUUGUCAUGUGAACAGAGGCAGCCACCCUCCUGUUUUGUUUUGUUUUGUUUUGUUUUCUCCUCCCAAUAAAUCUCUUGUGUGAGGUUUGUUGUGUGGUAUAACUUUGUGGUAUUCCUUGGCUCCCAACUGCCAGGAUGCCUUUCUAUCUAAGCUGUAACCCUUACAUUUGGUUAGGCUCUCCUUGUGCCUGCCUUUCCCUCGGAGGCCUAAGCUGCCCUGGGACUCUUUUCCUCACCUUGAGUCCACCUGCAACAGACUCACUUUCUGGCUCACCACUGGCUUAGCAUUCCAUCCACUAGCAGCAACUAGAUGGAUCUCCUAAGUUUGUUGCAAAGUCAGAGCCUGGAGCCAGAUGGGGAGAAAGCAAAGGAUUAGGCCAGCUGCAAUAUGCACAAAUUCUUCAUUGGCUGAUUCAUCUAUCAGCUCCCUCCUGCAGGAUCCUCUG